rnacentral:rRNA from 1 species
CCACGGGAGGCAGCAGUGGGGAAUAUUGCACAAUGGGGGGAACCCUGAUGCAGCAAUGCCGCGUGAAGGAUGAAGGUUUUCGGAUUGUAAACUUCUUUUGUACGGGACGAAGAAAGUGACGGUACCGUAAGAAUAAGCCACGGCUAACUACGUGCCAGCAGCCGCGGUAAUACGUAGGUGGCAAGCGUUAUCCGGAUUUACUGGGUGUAAAGGGCGAGUAGGCGGGAACGCAAGUCAGAUGUGAAAACUCAGGGCUCAACCCUGAGCCUGCAUUUGAAACUGUGUUUCUUGAGUGCUGGAGAGGC